UUUUACUCAGCUUUUCUUACGUUUGUUAAAAGUUAAAAUAUUAUCUUCUGAUGUUUCUAAUUGCAGUGUUGCUGAGGUUGAGACAUUUUACAAACAGAAAUUGGAUGAAAUGAGUGCUGCUCUAAAACGAAAAGAUAAAGAAUUGAAAUCAUUUAAAGACAGGCUGGCAGCCCAGCUUGCUGCUUCAAGAGAAAAAAACAACAGCCUUCAUGAUGGAGGCAUCCCUUAAAGAGCAGCUUUAUGAG